UACGAAGGGGCUAGCGUUGUUCGGAUUUACUGGGCGUAAAGCGCACGUAGGCGGAUCGUUAAGUGAGGGGUGAAAUCCCAGGGCUCAACCCUGGAACUGCCUUCAUACUGGCGAUCUCGAGUCCGGAAGAGGUGAGUGGAACUCCUAGUGUAGAGGUGGAAUGCGCAGAUAAUCAGGAGGAACACCAAUGGCGAAGGCAGCUCGCUGGGACGGUACUGACGCUGGAGACGCGAAAGCGUGGGAGCAAACAGG
rnacentral:rRNA from 1 species